AGGGCACCACCAGGAGUGGAGCCUGCGGCUUAAUUUGACUCAACACGGGAAAACUCACCCGGCCCGGACACCGUAAGGAUUGACAGACUGAGAGCUCUUUCUUAAUUCGGUGGGUGGUGGUGCAUGGCCGUUCUUAGUUGGUGGAGCGAUUUGUCUGGUUAAUUUCGAUAACGAACGAGACUCCGGCUUACUAAAUAGUCUAAAGUUCGAAGGGACUUUUUUCUAGACUUCUUAGCAGGAUAAGUGGCACUUUUUAAGCCACACGAAAUGGAGCAAUAACAGGUCUGUGAUGCCCUUAGAUGUCCGAGGCUGCACGCGCGCUACACUGGAGAGUUCAGAAUGUUAUUUCCUACUUCGACAGAAGUGGGUAACCAUGAAAUUCUCUUCGUGACUGGGAUCGGAGCUUGCAAUUAUUCUCCGUCAACGAGGAAUUCCUAGUAAGCACUAUUUCAUCAGAAUGUGCUGAUUAUGUCCCUGUCCUUUGUACACACCGCCCGUCGCUACUACCGAUUGAAUGUU
rnacentral:rRNA from 1 species